rnacentral:rRNA from 1 species
GAUGAACGCUGGCGGCGUGCCUAAUACAUGCAAGUCGAGCGAACGGACGAGAAGCUUGCUCCUCUGACGUUAGCGGCGGACGGGUGAGUAACACGUGGAUAACCUACCUAUAAGACUGGGAUAACUUCGGGAAACCGGAGCUAAUACCGGAUAAUAUAUUGAACCGCAUGGUUCAAUAGUGAAAGACGGUUUUGCUGUCACUUAUAGAUGGAUCCGCGCUGCAUUAGCUAGUUGGUAAGGUAACGGCUUACCAAGGCAACGAUGCGUAGCCGACCUGAGAGGGUGAUCGGCCACACUGGAACUGAGACACGGUCCAGACUCCUACGGGAGGCAGCAGUAGGGAAUCUUCCGCAAUGGGCGAAAGCCUGACGGAGCAACGCCGCGUGAGUGAUGAAGGUCUUCGGAUCGUAAAACUCUGUUAUUAGGGAAGAACAUAUGUGUAAGUAACUAUGCACGUCUUGACGGUACCUAAUCAGAAAGCCACGGCUAACUACGUG